rnacentral:rRNA from 1 species
UACAGAGACUGCAAGCGUUAUUCGGAUUCACUGGGCGUAAAGGGCGCGUAGGCGGAUGGCACAGUCAGAUGUGAAAUUCCCGGGCUUAACCUGGGGGCUGCAUUUGAUACGUGUGAUCUAGAGUGAGGAAGAGGGUCGUGGAAUUCCCAGUGUAGAGGUGAAAUUCGUAGAUAUUGGGAAGAACACCGGUGGCGAAGGCGGCGACCUGGUCCUUGACUGACGCUGAGGCGCGAAAGCGUGGGGAGCAAACAGG